rnacentral:rRNA from 1 species
GAUGAACGCUGGCGGCGUGCCUAAUACAUGCAAGUCGAGCGAACAGACGAGGAGCUUGCUCCUUUGACGUUAGCGGCGGACGGGUGAGUAACGCGUGGGUAACCUACCUAUAAGACUGGGAUAACUUCGGGAAACCGGAGCUAAUACCGGAUAAUAUUUCGAACCGCAUGGUUCGAUAGUGAAAGAUGGCUUUGCUAUCACUUAUAGAUGGACCUGCGCCGUAUUAGCUAGUUGGUAAGGUAACGGCUUACCAAGGCAACGAUACGUAGCCGACCUGAGAGGGUGAUCGGCCACACUGGAACUGAGACACGGUCCAGACUCCUACGGGAGGCAGCAGUAGGGAAUCUUCCGCAAUGGGCGAAAGCCUGACGGAGCAACGCCGCGUGAGUGAUGAAGGUCUUCGGAUCGUAAAACUCUGUUAUUAGGGAAGAACAAACGUGUAAGUAACUGUGCACGUCUUGACGGUACCUAAUCAGAAAGCCACGGCUAACUACGUG